GUAAAAGUAAAGAAAAGGAAUAAGUUAAAUUUAAAUAGACGUUUUUGUCUUUGCCAAUAGUUUGAAUGGCGAAUAUGUCCAAGUCCAUGCUAACAGAAAGGAGCAGAUCUCAGGAACCUGAAGAAACCGGCACACAAUAGAAUCUAUAAAAGCUUUCAAGGGAUUGCAUGAGACUUACCAAAUCAACUGGACACCAAAGUUUGGCCAAGAUAACACAUAAAAUUAGCCAUCACAAAGACUAAAUGAAGGAGAUUGGAUGCUGCCUACCCACAUUGAAGAUGGACCUUUCCCAAUUAAUCCAUCAGACCGGGAAAUACAGAAAGGAGAAUAAAAAGAAAAAGAAACGAAAAUCCACCCAGUCUCCCACACUAAUCUCUUCUGGAAACAUUCUCACAGACACACCCAAACAUAGUGCUUUACCAGGUUUUUAGGUACUCCUUCCAGUCAAAUCGACACCUAAAAUUAAUCUUUACAAGCCCAACCCUUGUCAACUGGCAUCCAUACACAUCUUCCUAAGCCAUACUCUUCAAAUAAAAACAAUAAUAAAGUAUUAGUUUUGCUUAACAUGAAGCUGUGUAAAACCAAAAACU
ensembl:lincRNA